rnacentral:lncRNA from 1 species
UGGCAAUCAAUCUCAAAGUAUGGGAUGACCCCCAAGUCUUGACAUCUUGGGCCCUAUAGAUAGCAAUUAUUUAGGAUAAAACUCUCUUUGCCGGUGGAUCUCCAAAUAGAUGGGUCACAAGCCCAACGUUCCAACCCCUCUCUCCAGGUGGUAAUAAAUAAUAAACUUGCAUCGUGUCACUAAUCUCUAUGCUAACAAGUGCCGGCCAUCGGCUAAACGGGAGGUUAGCAACCCAAGGGUCAUGAACAAGAUUCAUCAUCUACCCAUUUUUCACCAUCAACUGGAUGCAUGGCAUCC